rnacentral:rRNA from 1 species
ACGAACGCUGGCGGCGUGCUUAACCCAUGCAAGUCGCACGGAAAGGCCCUGCUUUUGUGGGGUGCUCGAGUGGCGAACGGGUGAGUAACACGUGAGUAACCUGCCCUUGACUUUGGGAUAACUUCAGGAAACUGGGGCUAAUACCGGAUAGGAGCUCCUGCUGCAUGGUGGGGGUUGGAAGGUUUCGGCGGUUGGGGAUGGACUCGCGGCUUAUCAGCUUGUUGGUGGGGUAGUGGCUUACCAAGGCUUUGACGGGUAGCCGGCCUGAGAGGGUGACCGGCCACAUUGGGACUGAGAUACGGCCCAGACUCCUACGGGAGGCAGCAGUGGGGAAUAUUGCACAAUGGGCGGAAGCCUGAUGCAGCAACGCCGCGUGCGGGAUGACGGCCUUCGGGUUGUAAACCGCUUUCGCCUGUGACGAAGCGUGAGUGACGGUAAUGGGUAAAGAAGCACCGGCUAACUACGUG